rnacentral:lncRNA from 1 species
GGUCGAGGCCUUUUGCCUUCAGAGGUAGAGGCCGUCGCAGGUAUUCUUCCCCCUCGAUCUCCAUUAGAAUCUGCACACGAGGAGCGGAGAGAGGAGUGUAGGAGUCAUACCUGGGGCGUGUCGGCCCUGGAGUCUGUUGCUGGGGUGACUUUCGAUUUCGUCGGGGUGGCGAGACCCGACUUUCGAUCGGGGGCCUGCUGGGUUUGGUGGGUUC